GAGAAGAACGCAGCGAAAUGCGAUAAGUAAUGUGAAUUGCAGAAUUCAGUGAAUCAUCGAAUCUUUGAACGCACAUUGCGCCCCUUGGUAUUCCGAGGGGCAUGCCUGUUCGAGCGUCAUUAUAACCCCUCAAGCUCAGCUUGGUGUUGGGGCCUGCUGCACUGGCAGCCCUUAAAAUCAGUGGCGGCGCCAUCUGGCUCUAAGCGUAGUAAUUCUUCUCGCUAUGGAGUCCUGGUGGAUGCUUGCCAUCAACCCCCAAUUUUUCUAUGGUUGACCUCGGAUCAGGUAGGGAUACCCGCUGAACUUAAGCAUAUCAAUAAGCGGAGGA
rnacentral:misc_RNA from 1 species